GGGUCUUACCAUUUGGUAUCAUAGCGUUAUCAUUUCUUAAGACUUUAGGAUCUUAUCAUUUGGUAUCAGAGCAGUGAUACUCGGCAUUUUCACUGUUCUCGCUAUAGUUAUCAUCAUCUCAAAAAAAAAAAAAAAAAGAGGAACGCAGGAGAAAAAAAAAAAAAGUAGGAAAGAGAUCGUGUGAGAAAGGGUGAAGCCGGCGGCCACC
rnacentral:lncRNA from 1 species